rnacentral:rRNA from 1 species
AUUCAAGCGCGUAAGAGCAUUUGGUGGAUGCCUUGGCAUAAAGAGACGAUGAAGGACGUGAUAGACUGCGAUAAGCUCGGGCUUGCUGUCAAUAAGCUUAACCCGAGAUUUCCGAAUGGGGGAACCCAAUCUUUCGAGAUUACUUAUAAGUGAAUUCAUAGCUUAUAAGAGUGAACCUAGGGAACUGAAACAUCUAAGUACCUAGAGGAAAAGAUAUUCCGUUAGUAGCGGCGAGCGAACGCGGAACAGGCCAGUGUUAUUUUUUACUAAACCAGAACUGCAUGGGAAGGCAGGCCAUAGUGAGUGAUAGCCUCGUAUGGGUAGAUAGUAAAAAAUAGCCUUGAGUAGGGCGGGACACGUGAAAUCCUGUUUGAACAUAGAAAGACCACUUUCUAAGCCUAAAUACUACUUUAUGACCGAUAGUGAACCAGUACCGUGAGGGAAAGGCGAAAAGAACCCCUAGCAGGGGAGUGAAAUAGAACCUGAAACCGAAUGCUUACAAGCAGUUGGAGCCUCAAUAUGAGGUGACAGCGUACCUUUUGUAUAAUGGGUCAGCGACUUAAUAUCAAUAGCAAGCUUAAGGCAUAUAGCUGUAGGCGAAGCGAAAGCGAGUCUGAAUAGGGCGACUUAGUUAUUGGUAUUAGACUCGAAACCGGGUGAUCUAGUCAUGUGCAGGUUGAAAGUGAAGUAAAAUUCACCGGAGGACCGAACCCACUAACGUUGAAAAGUUACGGGAUGACAUGUGAUUAGGGGUGAAAGGCCAACCAAACCCGGAAAUAGCUAGUUCUCCGCGAAAUCUAUUUAGGUAGAGCGUCGUGCGAAUCUUAUUGGGGGUAGAGCACUGAAAGGGCUAGGGGGAAGCAAUUCCUACCAAACCUUAUCAAACUCCGAAUACCAGUAAGUCUACACGGCAGACAGUCCAUGGGUGCUAACGUCCUUGGACAAGAGGGAAACAACCCAGAUCAACAGCUAAGGUCCCAAAAUAAUGGUUAAGUGUGAAAGGGAGUGGGAACUCCAAGACAGCCAGGAGGUUGGCUUAGAAGCAGCCAUCCUUUAAAGAAAGCGUAACAGCUCACUGGUCUAAUUAAGAGAUCCUGCACCGAAAAUGUAACGGGGCUAAAACCAUUUACCGAAGCUUUGACAAUUACUUUUAGUAAUUGGGUAGCGGAGCGUUCUGUAAGCCUAUGAAGGUGAAGCGUAAGCUUUGCUGGAGGUAUCAGAAGUGCGAAUGCUGACAUGAGUAACGAUAAUGAAUGUGAAAGACAUUCACGCCGAAAUCCUAAGGUUUCCUGCGUAAAGCUAAUCUGCGCAGGGUUAGUCGGCCCCUAAGACGAGGGCGAAAGCCGUAGUCGAUGGAAAGCAGGUUAAUAUUCCUGCACCAGCUGGUAGUGACGGAUGGAGUAAAUUGUAAGUUCUUACUGGAUUGAACUUGCAGUGAAUCUGUUCCUGGAAAUAGCUCCAGCAUAAGACCGUACCAAAACCGACACAGGUAGGAAGGUAGAGAAUACCAAGGCGCUUGAGAGAACGAUGUUGAAGGAACUCGGCAAAUUACACUUGUAACUUCGGGAUAAGAGUGACCUGUCAUUGGGCAACCAGUGAUGGGUGGCACAGAAAUGGGGGUAGCGACUGUUUACUAAAAACAUAGCACUAUGCAAAGUCGAAAGACGACGUAUAUGGUGUGACGCCUGCCCGGUGCCGGAAGGUUAAUAGGAGGGGUGCAAGCUCUGAAUUGAAGCCCCGGUGAACGGCGGCCGUAACUAUAACGGUCCUAAGGUAGCGAAAUUCCUUGUCGGGUAAGUUCCGACCUGCACGAAUGGCGUAACGAUUUCCCCACUGUCUCCAACAUCGACUCAGUGAAAUUGAAUUCUCGGUUAAGAUGCCGAGUAACCGUGGUUAGACGGAAAGACCCCGUGCACCUUUACUGCAGCUUUGUAUUGGUAUUAGGGGAAAGAUGUGUAGCAUAGGUGGGAGACUUUGAAGAAUUGGCGCUAGCCAGUUUGGAGUCAACAGUGAAAUACCACUCUUCUUUUCCUUGAUGCCUAACCAUACACCGUUAUCCGGUGUUGGGACCAUGCAUGGUGGGCAGUUUGACUGGGGCGGUCGCCUCCCAAAGAGUAACGGAGGCGCGCGAUGGUAGGCUCAGAACGCUUGGAAACCGUUCGUCGAGUGCAAUGGCAUAAGCCUGCCUGACUGCAAGACCUACAAGUCGAGCAGAGACGAAAGUCGGUCAUAGUGAUCCGGUGGCACUUCGUGGAAGGGCCAUCGCUCAACGGAUAAAAGGUACGCCGGGGAUAACAGGCUGAUCUCCCCCAAGAGUCCAUAUCGACGGGGAGGUUUGGCACCUCGAUGUCGGCUCAUCACAUCCUGGGGCUGAAGCAGGUCCCAAGGGUUUGGCUGUUCGCCAAUUAAAGUGGUACGUGAGCUGGGUUUAGAACGUCGUGAGACAGUUCGGUCCCUAUCUGCCAUGGUUGUGGAAGCUUGAGAGGAUCUGUCCUUAGUACGAGAGGACCGGGAUGGACGUACCUCUGGUGUACCGAUUGUAGCGCCAGCUGCAUCGUCGGGUAGCUAUGUACGGAAUGGAUAACCGCUGAAAGCAUCUAAGCGGGAAACCAACCUCAAAACUAGGCUUCAUUAUAGGAUCGUGGAAGACCACCACGUUGAUAGGCUGGGUGUGGAAGUGUGGUAACACAUGAAGCUAACCAGUACUAAUAUUCCAAUGCUUGAAUUA